UGAUCACGCCCUAAAAAUAAACAAUUGAUGAGUCAGGCAUUUCAUGGAUGAAAUGCAAGGUGAAGCUUGGCCAUGGAUGGCCUAUCUUCGCCGCUUGCGUUCACAUCAAUUGAUUAUUUGCAAAGCGAUUCUU
rfam:Pseudoalteromonas ulvae strain TC14 Contig_1, whole genome shotgun sequence.